rnacentral:pre_miRNA from 1 species
GUGAGAUAGAAUCAGUGUUUGGACAUGCAAUUUCAUGCUAAUUCUAUCUCAUGA